rnacentral:lncRNA from 1 species
AGUUAGCUUUGCUUUUAUUUAAAUCAUUCUUUAUGUUAUUCUUUCUAGAAAUUGUUUUCGUCAUUAUUUAUGGUAUGUUUCUGGUUCUAAUUUACACUUGCAAAAUCCUAUGGCAGCUCAGAGGACCCAAGUGUAUAAGUAUUAUGCUCGUACUACUCAAUAUUCAUUUUAAAGUUAGUUACUUAUGGAAACUUUAUGUCCCAUAUCUAUGUAUGAAAUGUCAAUUCUCACAUGAAGCAUUCUUCAUCGAAAUGUGAAUGAAAGAAAGACCGACCUACCUACCUGUUUUCAGUGGCAAGAUCAAUCAAACAAAAUAGGCUCAAGAGAAGAACCUGUUUUCUUCUUCUUCUUCAACUAUAUCCCAUCGUAUACAUCGCCCUAUAUGAAAAUAUGAAUGUACCCCUAUCUAUUCAACUCUUAGGUGGGCCUGCACGCACCUUUUUAGGUUAUCCGGAAGGAAUGGAAUGACUAAUGUGAUGUGAAANN